AGUUAUUUUCAUGUUCUUUUCAAGAUGUACUUUAUUCAGAAAGAUAAAUUAAAUUCUGAUCCUUCCAUUUCUUUUUUGUAUUUGAGGAACAUAGACAUCACAUAACGCUACUUUCAUUUCAAUAGGUAGCCAACAAGUACAAAUGCAGACUUGAUGCAUUGAUUUUGUAAAAUCUGUCUUUGUGCCUUAAAAGUAGGCUAGCAGUUCUCUACCAUCUUAAUCAAAGUGCUGAAAAAUUAAAAGAGGAUGAAGAAUUUUUAUGAGUCCAACUCUGUUUGAAGCACUGAUGGAGAGGAUAUUGAGGAGCUAGAAGUAUGAGAUUAUGAACUCAUCUAAGGGAUUCCUUGAAAAGACGUGUUUUCAAUUUUUAAUCACUGAUCAGUAAUUAUGUGACGAUUUCAUGUUUUUUUUUUUUAAUUUUACCUAAUGAAGCUCCUGCCCUAAAUGACUUAAUGCAUACCUUGUCAACUGAGCUAAUGUCUUAUUAUGCCAACUGAAAAUUUUGUAUCAAUAUCAGAGCAUAUCACAGGUUUUCCCAUGCGUAGAUUUUGUUUCAUUAAUUUUAAUAGGCAUAGUUAUUGAUGUUACCUACAGCUACGUGAAAGUCCCCUCGCUAAUCAAUCUCAAGUGACCGCUCCAAUUAUAGCACUUUCAUGAGUUGUAUUGAUUUGUUUCAUGCACUGAUGCACGAAAGGCACUUUGCGUUGGAGGGGACUAACUUGAUGGGGUUGAAACAUGCAUCUAGUUUAAAUUCAGAGUUCUGAGGAUAUGAUUUUGUAUAUUUCGACAUUUUAGCUACAUUUACAUGUUGAUCAUCCUUGUUCUUAUUGUGCGUUAAACUUUUGUACCGAGAACUAAUUUAUAAAUGCUUGUUUCUGGUAUUAUGGAACUAUAUCUCUAAUAUUUUCUGUAACAUUUGGACACUUAGAGUGUAUGAUGCGUUCCUUUUCAGUGUCUAACAAGUUACUUGCAACAUUUUCUUGCCUUUUUACUCUUACUCUUCAUCUUGCAAGUAUUUUUGGUUCAAUUACAAGGUAAAUAUGCACAUCAGCCUGAAAGUUUUGUAUGUUCAUUUGUAAAAAUAAUUUGGUCGACAGUUCCGCCCAAGAUUUGAAUUCUUAACGCCCCAAGUGCUCAAGAUAUUACCUCAUUGGUACACUUAGUCUCUCUCCCUCUCUCUAUGUCUCUUUACAAGAUGUCACAAACAGUAAUUCAACUCUUUAGAUUACAUUGCAGCAUUGAUGAAUUGUGGCCUUAGAGGCUACAACUAAAUUUGAUUUGAUUGCUUGUUGGGACCCUUUCUGCGAUAGCUUUUUUUCUGAUUGGAGCUUUCUACUGUUUUACAAUGUAACUAGUUAAACGCCAAGACGUCUCCGCUGGAUGUCUUAGAAGAAAAACUGCUUUUUUCUUGACGGAGUUGGUAAAAGAGGUGCUCUUAUGAAAGAGAAUUUGUUUGAUGGUGAUAUAGCUCAACUCGAGGAAGCACAUACUGACACCCUCGCAGAAACUUAGCCGGACUUUGGGCAUCAUCCGUACUUCUACCAAUUGCAAAAGGAGGAAGGAAGUUUGAGUGGGAGGCAACUAAUCCGAAGGCGUUGAAACAUGCAUCAAGUUUCAGUUUGGAUUUCAGAGGAUACGAUUUGGUUUAUUUCAACUUUUUAACUAAAUAUACAUAAAUACAUGUAGAUGUAGGCGUUGAUUAUUCCUGUUCUUAUUCUGGAUUAAAACUUAUGUACCAAAGAAUUGCAGUCUUAUUGUGUUUCAUGUGGUAUAACUCCAUAUCUGAUCUUAAUGCAGAGAUAUUGUGCUAAAA